AAUCAACGCUGGCGGCGUGCCUCAGACAUGCAAGUCGAACGUGAAAGUUCCUUCGGGAAUGAGUAAAGUGGCGCACGGGUGAGUAACACGUGGGUAAUUUGCCUUCGGGUGGGGAAUACCAACCGGAAACGGUUGUUAAUACCGCAUGAUGCAGCGGCUCGACAUCGAGACAGUUGUUAAAGCGGGGGAGCGGAGCAAUCCGUCCUCGCGCCUGAAGAGAAGCCCGCGGCGGAUAGGUAGUUGGUGAGGUAAUGGCUCACCAAGCCCGCGAUCCGUAACCGACCUGAGAGGGUGGUCGGUCACACUGACACUGACAUACGGGUCAGACUCCUACGGGAGGCAGCAGUCGGGAAUUUUGGGCAAUGGGCGCAAGCCUGACCCAGCAACGCCGCGUGAA
rnacentral:rRNA from 1 species